GCAUCAGUGGUCUAACGGUUAUGAUCCGGUCUUCCCAUAGUAACAUCUUCAUUGACAGAAGUGGCCGGGAAAGGGGUUCGACUCCCCUCUGAUGCA